rnacentral:rRNA from 1 species
CAAUAGCGUAUAUUUAAGUUGUUGCAGUUAAAAAGCUCGUAGUUGGAUUUUGGGUCGGGGGCACCGGUCCGCCGUUCCGGUGUGCACUGGUGGCCCCUUCCUUUCUGCCGGGGACGUGCGUCGCACUUAAUUGGGUGGCGUUCGGAGUCGGCGUUGUUACUUUGAAAAAAUUAGAGUGUUCAAAGCAAGCCAUCGCUCUGAAUACAUUAGCAUGGAAUAACAUGAUAGGACUCCGGUCUUAUUUUGUUGGUUUCCGAGACUGGAGUAAUGAUUAAGAGGGACAGUCGGGGGCAUCCGUAUUUCAUUGUCAGAGGUGAAAUUCUUGGAUUCAUGAAAGACGAACUUCUGCGAAAGCAUUUGCCAAGGAUGUUUUCAUUA